CAAAUUAAAGCUAAUAUAGCAUUAUUAUUUACAUUAAUAAGAUUACUGUGAAAUUCAGUUUAAUUUGA
rnacentral:tRNA from 1 species